ACAAGAAAAUCGCGGGAGUUGAAGAGGACGCUUCAGUCAGUCGGCAGUGACAUUGUGUUUGGACACCAGCAACAUAGCGAAGGCUUGGAAAUCAUGGAAGGAGGAGUUUACACUAUACAUGGAUCUUUCCAUGCCUGAGGCGGCAGAGCAUGUAAGAGUGAAACUGUUCUACUACCUGAUCGGAGAGACCGGUAGGAAACUUUGUGAAACUUUGAUGAGCGAUGUGACUUCUCCCAGGAGGAAACUCAGUGAACUGAUUGGAAAAUUUGAUGAACAUUGCAACCCUAAGAUGAUUUUUCGAAGGGCAUUGAGGCAGGGGCUCAGCAUGCUGCUUCCCCUGCUGCUCAUGCCCCUGCUGUUGAAGUUGCAGGACCAAGUGGUGCUGGUCCAGGCAGAGCACCCAAGGGAAGAAAAAGGUCAUUAAAGGUUGACAAAGAGAAGGAAAAUGACGUUCAUCGAAUUCUUCUUGAGGUCUUGGUGGAGUGGCAAUCUGGUGUUCUGCCUGCCCCUGUUGUCACCCCACUCUCAGAGGAUGAACUUUUCCUCAAAAGCCUACUUUUUUCCCUGCAAAGAUUGCCAACGCAGUAGCAGAACUAUUUAAAGUUUGAAAUUCAUAAACUUAUUUAUGAAGCAAGCACCGUUGUGCUGAAUUUGGAAUUUGGAGUAGAUUACCUGCCAUUGGUUGACAAUCUUUUGCGGGGAACAAACCAGGCAUGUUUU